rnacentral:lncRNA from 1 species
GCGAUGGUGUCGGCGUAGGCGAACAAGCGGGUCACCUCGGUUCCGACGCAAACGCCAACGAUGGCUACGGUUCCGUCGCUAGACGACGAUGGCACCUACUCAAAGUCCUUUUCUCGAGAAAUCGGAAGAAUUGAGAAAAACCAACGGAGUGGCGGCGGUUCGGUUCUGUAGAAAUUGUUGGCGACGGUGAUUUUGCACGUGCAUUAAUAGGUCAGGAUGAUCAUAGAAGGCUACAUGAGGGGCGAAAUUUUGGUUUCGAUGAGAACCUGCUACGACGACGGUGCCGGGGGUUGGGAUGGGGGUUUUCUUUGCGGUGGUGAGGAGUGGUGGUGAGGAGUGGUUGGUUGUGGCCGGAAUCGUUAACGUUGGUUUUUGUAACCGAGAAGAAUACUGUGGGACUCUAGAGUUGUUUUACUUUUUAGU